GAAAAAGAUGUUUAUUUAAAAGUGAAUGGUAUAGUAAAAUAUGGUGAUUAAAUUAAUUUUGAAUAGAGACGAAAAGUAGAUUUUAUUGAAAUAAAUUUGGAAAUUAUAGUAAAUAGUAUUGUAAAAGAAUAUUUAAAUAUAGUGAAAAUGAAAUUGAGUGAAAGAAAUUUUUAUAUUUGUACUUUGUGUAUUACGGAUUUUUAAAAUUAUAUUAGGAGGUAAUGUAUCCCGAAAAAGAAAGAGUUAUAAUUAUAUGAAAGUUUUUAUAUCACUAAAAUUUUGAAUAUAAUUAUAGGAGUGAAAUGCUAUGACGGGUUUUUAUAUCUGGUUUAUUAAGAAAUGAAUUUAAUUCUAGAUAGAUAUUAAUUUAAAAUAUUUAAUCUAAGAAUAUAAGGGUAGAGCUUUAUCAUUCAAUAAUAAGUGAAAUAUAAGUUAAUAAGUAUUUAUUUUGAUAAUUAGGUUUUUUAGUGGCCAUAUUUUUAAAGUGUUUUAACUAAUAUAAUUGAAUAAUUUAUUUAUUAGAUUUUAUUAAAUUAAUAAUAUGUUUUUUAAAAUGGAUAAAUAUUAGAAAUAAUGAAAAUAUUAGUAGAAUUAAUAUAUGAGAAAAAAGAAAAGUAUUAAAAGUAAAAUAUGAAAUAGUUAAGAAAAAAAUAGAGGAACUCGGCAAAUAAGGUUCUUGCCUGUUUAACAAAAACAUGUCUCUAUGAAGUUAUAUGAAGUCUGACCUGCCCAUUGAAAUUUAUUAAAAGGCCGCGGUAUAUUAACUGUGCAAAGGUAGCAUAAUUAGUAGUUUUUUAAUUGAAGGCUUGUAUGAAAGGUUGGACAAGGGAUAAGCUGUCUUUAUUUUUAUUUUUGAAUUUGUCUUUUAAGUGAAAAGACUUAAAUAAGUUUAAGGGACGAUAAGACCCUAUAAAUCUUUAUAUUAGUUUAAUUUUAUUUUAAAUUUUAAUGUUUAAAAGAGUAAAGUUAAUACAGUAUUGUAUUGGGGUGAUAGGAAUAAUUAGUAAACUGUUCGAAGGUAUAAACAAAAAUAUUUGAUAUAUAAUUAUUAGUAGAUCCUUAGUGGAGAUUACAAGUUUAAGUUACUUUAGGGAUAACAGCGUUAUUUUUUUUGAGAGUUCUAAUCGAAAAAGAAGUUUGCGACCUCGAUGUUGAAUUAAAAUUUCUUUGUGGUGUAGUAGUUACAAGAGAGAGUCUGUUCGACUUUUAAAAUUUUACAUGAUUUGAGUUCAGACCGAUGUGAAUCAGGUUGGUUUCUAUCUUUAAAUGAUUUGUUAUAUUAUUUUAGUACGAAAGGACCAAAUAAAUAAAAAUAUUUUUAUAGAUUGAAUUGGUUUAUUACUUUGGCAGAAGUUAAUGUAGUAGGUUUAGGACCUA
rnacentral:rRNA from 1 species